GACGGGGCCCGGCACAAGACGGUGGAGCAUGUGGUUUAAUUCGAAGCAACGCGAAGAACCUUACCAGGCCUUGACAUGCAGAGAACUUUCCAGAGAUGGAUUGGUGCCUUCGGGAACUCUGACACAGGUGCUGCAUGGCUGUCGUCAGCUCGUGCCGUGAGGUGUCGGGUUAAGCCCCAUAACGAGCGCAACCCCUACCUUUAGUUGCCAUCAGGUAAUGCUGGGGACUCUAAAGGAACUGCCUACGCAAGUAGUGAGGAAGGCGGGGAUGACGUCAAAUCAGCACGGCCCUUACGUCCAGGGCUACACACGUGCUACAAUGGCCGAUACAGAGGGUAGCUACCUGGUGACAGGAUGCAAAUCUCCAAAGUCGGUCUCAGUUCGGAUCGGAGUCUGCAACCCGACUCCGUGAAGUUGGAUUCGCUAGUAAUCGCGCAUCAGCCAUGGCGCGGUGAAUACGUUCCCGGGCCUU
rnacentral:rRNA from 1 species